AUAAGAAAUCCCCAGUUUCUGCCGUGUGGCUAGGGAUUAGACUCCGCCACCGGCUGAAGGGCCUGCCGUGUCGGCCGCUGCUGUGUGCCGGAGGGUGCCGUUGGAGCGUGUCGCCUGCCGCAUGCCGCGCGCCGGGAGACGCCACGGCCGUGCCUGAAGGCCCGCUGUCGCGGGAGUGGCCGUGUCCGCUAGCGGCCACGCCGGAGGGCGUCGUGCGUCGUGUCGACUCUUGAUGCCAGACAAGAGGGCUCUGGUGCCACGUGCCGGUGUUGUGAUGAAGGUCCUGCCAAGUCUCCAUGCCGUGCGCAGGCCAUCUUCUGGAGCCGCUCUAUUGCGGUUGAGGCCUCCGUGCUGCAGCGUCCCUGAAAUCAGCCUUUGCAUGCGCAGGGCACACAACGCUUCCAUGGGGAAGGCCAAAGGCUGAUGCCCCUGCUCUGGUCUGGAGUGCUGCGCCGUGAAGGCCAUUUGACUAUCUUGUCGUGCCGACAGCGACAAUUCCUAAUAGUCAAGAACAAAUAUUAGGUAAAUCGCAUUAGCACAUGAUGUAUCUUAGCAACUAGAUUAACAUCGCCUUUGGUUGUAUUGGUGUGAUUAUUCCAUGCUGCUCUAAGGUGUUGAUUCCAACGGAAUCGUUGAUUUGCUAUUUA